UAUUGCGAGCGACUGUAAACACCAAUGCACUUGUCCUUCAGUGAGUCUUGGAUCACAAUGAGGGCCGCCGACAUGGACAUGGCUACUACGAGCGAUCCAACCUAAAGCCCAAGUCCAAAAACUCAAAAAAAAAAAUUAGUCCAGAAAAAGACCAACUUUGAAGCCCAAACUUCAAGCCCAUUAUCAGCCCAAAAAAAACCCAUCUGUAAGCUGCUUUUGAUCAUGUAAAAUUGUAAAAACUAUUGAAUUGGAUUAAGUUUUGAUAUGAAACUAAAUAUUGUCAAGAUCAAAUGCCAAUAAAAACCUAACGCGAUUUCGGGUUUCAAUCCCCAUCCUGUUGAAAAGAAUGGUUUAGCUAACAAGAUCUAUCAAAAGGGCCCAAUGGAACUGUACAAUGUACUUGGUUGAUAACUAAAUACCCUUUCUGUUAAUCGAAUUAUAUUGUUAAUGACUAAGAUUAAAGAUAAUAAUUGGAUUCGAUUCGUAUAAUACAAGGCAUCAGUUAACCUAUUAGUCAGACUUUGCAUGCAUUAUUUAGUUGGCAUAUCAUAAUCACAUAUAUAUAUGGUUCAACAAGAAAAUUUUGGAUCAUUAAAAAUGUUUAUAGGAUUUAUAAUCAAAUCAGUCACUCAGAUUCUGACAGAUUCAUGGAUAAACAACAAUCAAUUCAGUGUCGAUUUUCAUAAUUCAAUCCUUAAAUCAUUACCAAAAAAAAAAAAAAAAAAAAAAAAAUCCUUAAACAUCAACAAUAUCUUUAUUUCUAGUUUUCUACUCAUCAUGGUGACAGAUUCUGAUGUAUUCAUGGUGACGAAAUUCGACACUGAUGCCUUAUAAUAUAUUAAUAUAGUGUAAUACUCUAGUAUUAUCGGUAAUUAAACUCGAAUUUCCGACAGUAUAAUUGGCUUUACACAAUCAAAAUUUCUGUACUAUGAAUAGGUGCUCCAUACAAUGUUUGGAUUUAAAAAUUUCAAACAGAUCUACUGCUACGUAAGAAUUGCAAAAUGACACCAAACUCUAACAGGAAAAUAUGCUUCACAGAUCAUGUUCUAAUAUUCAAAAACAUUCUAUCUUAUCUAAUGUCGAAAUCAUAUGGUUUUCAAUUAAUGGUAUGACCCUAUAUGGCUAUAUGUCCCUACCUUGUUGAUCAAUUAUGAUAAAACUAUAUAAUAAAAACUAUAUUCUCAUUAUAGUAGCUUACCUCACUACCAAAAAAAAAAAAAUUAUAGUAGCUUACCCAUAAUUUUCCCACUUUGAAUUUUUAAUUUCAUAAGAUCAUCCACCUUCUAACAAAUAAUCAAAAUUAUAAUAAAAAGUGUAACACCUAAUCAAUUCUGAGUGGUAUUGCUGUUUAAGUAAGCUUUCUACUCAAGUAAAGUCAUCUAAUAUGGGCCAUGGAGUAAGAAAGUGUUCAUCUCUUCAUCAUCAAAGAUUCUAAACCAAAAGAAAAAUAUAAAUAGUUAAAUACCAUUCAAAGUAACAAAGGGAUAUAUAUUAAGUAAAAAUUUCAACCUUUAGUUACAAGAGAUAAACUCUAUUCAAAGUUGUCAAGUGAGAAAAAUAUGGGAAAGUUAGAAAAACAAAGACAAAAGCAAUUGAACAACAAUAAAGCAUUUGUUGUUGGUGUUGGAAGGAAGAGGGGGUAAAGAGAGAAGGGAACUGGAUUCUUCUCUUCUCUUCUCCUUCCUUUACUUUUUUUUUUUGCCAAGAAGCAGCUUUGUGAAAGCUGGGCUGAAAGCUUGAAGACAGACUAAGGUAGUAAAUCCUUUUCAAUUAUACUUGUAUACUCUUCUAUUGCUAUAAACAACCUUAAAUUGCUUAGAAGUAGUCCAUUACAUACUUGAUCUGGAGAAAAACUAGCAACUAAAGUUUUCUUUCAAUUUUCUUGUUUCUAUGUUUUUCCUAUUGUUCUUUUCCAUCAUGUUCUUGUGCAUGAAUAUCUCUUAAAUUCUGUGACAAUUAAGAUAAGUUUUUUUUUUAACUGAUCUAUUUAAAUAAUUUAAUAAAGGGCACUAAUUUAGUUCCUAAAGCAUCUCUAUGUCUUUGCUCAUAUGUCUUCACAUAGAACUUCUCAUAUUCCUUGUGCUUCUUCAGUGAAAGUAGUUAUACUUCCUCUGCACAAACAAAUGGCAGGAAAUUGUCUGAGGAAAAAGAUCUAAAGCUUGAAGAACCUCAACAACAUACUAUUUAACGAAUACAAGUUAUGUCGUAUAUACUCAAGAAUUGUGAUGUAGAAGCUAAAAUGCUUUGUAGUUUACUCGAAAGUGAUUUUAGACACUACAUCCCCCUACACCGUGGUAUUGGGUUGGAACCUGAUAUGCCCUGGUGUGGUUUAAUUAGGUUCAUAGUGAUAUGAAAGCUUUUGCUUAUUUACUUCGCCGUGGUUUAAUUAGGUUCAUAGUGGGUUGGAACAGAUUCUGACACUUCAAUUGCAUUUUUUUCUUUUUUUUGUUAAUUCUAUUUAUUGCAAGUAUUUGUAAAUGCUCUGGGUUUCUCCACAUGUUAAAUUUUAUUACUCAUGAACUCCAUGUCAGAUUGCCGAACCCCAAGCCAUUUAUUUAAGUCAGGAUCUAGAGCCUCCAAAUGUUAGAUUUUACAACCCCAGAUCACAUAUUCUAGAAUCAAAGCAAAAAUGAAUCAAUAGGAAUGAUCAGCAUAAUUCUGUUUGCUUACAAUGUUACCUUUAUCCAUCCAUGUCUCUUGUAGCUCCUUCUUGGCAUACACAAAUUUAACCGAUCUAGGUAAGUGGAAUUGUUCAUCCCCUGAUCUACAAUUUCCGCAUAGUAUAUUGGUUCUGCUUUUCACACCACAAAGUCACAUAACAGCCUGUGGUCAGAUGGAUAUUGAAUUUUAAGGAUAAUAGUUUAGUAGCUAACAGCACGUUGUUGUGCGUGACUGUGUCGUGCAAAAAGACGACUAUAACAUUUAUGCAGACCACGACCAGCUAAGCCCCCACAUAUUUCUACUUUUAGACAUCCUCUCAAAAAAAAAAAAAAAAAGGUUGCAUUCUGUAUUUUGUUUAUGUGUAUAAUAUAUAUGGUCAUCAUAGAUUAAAUUAUAAAAUGACAGUUAGUUCUCUGUUUAUCUGGUCAUCAUUAUAAAAUGAAGAGUUGUACUUGUACCCUGUCUUGUUAUAUAGUGGUUGUUUAUCUGGACAUCUUAGAUUUUAUAAUCCAACAUAGAUAGAUUUCUUACUUUGCAGGUGGAGUGGUGAUAAUAAUGCUAGACACAUGGGGAAGAAAGUGAGUUGGUUUUCAGCUAUCAAGAAGGCUUUCACACCAAAUUCCAAAGAAAAGUUAGUCAAUGUAAGUUGAACUGUCAUAAUAUGUACCAGGAGCUAAGUACCUAUCCUUCUUGCUUCUACUCAAAGCAAUUUUUCAGAUUUAGGUUGGCAGCAAGAAAAAUAGACUAAACUUGAUUAAUCUAGAUGUUGAUAGUUUGCAAAACUUUUGAUUUACCUUUUUCCGGGAAAGUACAAUAUGUAUUUGCAACUAUGUAUUGGAAUAAAGCUUUUCUAAACUACAUCAAAUGUCAAUAUCUUAAUGCUUCUACAGGAAAAUGAGGCUGAGAAGAAAAUUUUUAAGAAGUGGGGACUAGGGAAAAUAAAGCAUGGAGGGACCCCGUCAUUUAUCUACAGAAAACCAAGCAGUAUCGAAAAAAUACUUGGUGAUGCCGAAAAGGAGCAACAGCUUAUACAACCUGUGGUUUCUUAUGAUGGACGGAGGACACCACCUUUACCUACCAGAUCAUUUGAUGAACGGAGGACACCACCUAUACCUACCAGAUCAAAUGAUGAACGGAGGACGCCACCUAUACCUACCAGAUCAAAUGAUGAGCGGAGGACGCCACCUAUACCUACCAGAUCAUAUGAUGAACGGAGGACGCCACCUAUACCUAUCAGAUCGUAUAAUCAUAAUGCUGAAGUUAACUACAACCACACUCCAAAGAACCCACAGAUUUCAGCAAUCAAGAUUCAAGCAGCUUAUAGAGGUUACACGGUAAUGACAGGUCUACUGCUUUCAGGUUAUGAUUACAUUAGAAUUAGGACCAUUAAGAGUAAAAGUACAAUAUGAAUGUUGACAUUAGAUAAAGGUUUAUGUGAAUAGUUGUUGGCUUUGGAAAAUGAGUUUGUGAUUUAUUUGGUACAGGCUAGAAGAAAUAUCAGGGCACUAAAGGGUAUGGUGAGACUUCAAGGAGUAGUUCGAGGGCAAAAUGUAAAGCGCCAGACAAUGAACGCGAUGAAACAAAUGCAACUCCUAACAAAAGUCCAGUCACAGAUACAGUUGAGAAGGAUUAACCUGUUGGAAAAGCAAGUUCUGCAGAACCAGAAUUUACGCAAGAAUGAUGGAGAACUAGAGAGUGGUUAUGGAAGGUGGUCCUUGUCACAACCAGUGAGUUUCCACCUAAAAAGUGCUCCUUUGAAUAUGCUCCCAAUCAUGAGAGCUCCACACAUGUUUUUUUCUAGGCAGAAACCUCUAGGACAAUCAAUCAAAAGAUUUUCAAAUUUUCCAAAAACACCUGCCAUGUAUUGCGGGAAGAGUUUUAUAUAGAAGUCCUAACUCCUAAGCACAGAGCAAAAGUUUUAGUCAUUUCCUUUUCUCAAAAUUGUCUCUGUUUUUUUUCCUUUCUUCUUCAAAUAGAUAACUAGAUAAAGUGCCACACAGUGUUAGAUCUUUUGUUAAAACUGGGCUUUUUGCAGAAAUUUUUUCCUUAAAGCAGUCUUCAAUUAUAAGCAAAAUGCUUAUGUUAAUUAUUAAACUAAGUGUGUACCAUGCAGUCUGAAAUAGGCCAAAGCGAUGAAUGGGAUGAUAGUGUGCUCACAAAAGAAGAAAUAGAUGCAAGGGUGCAAAGGAAGGCAGAGGCUCUAAUGAAGAGAGAAAGGAUAUUAGCAUAUUCUAAUUCCCAUCAGGUACUUGAAGAUCCUAUAUUCUCUAUAAGUUUAGGCAAGCUUACUCUGCAUAUACUCAUUUACAAACAGUGCGGAAAACUGUAAUGGUCUAUAAGUUCAGGCCAACUUUCCCCGAAUGCAGCAGUGAAAAACUAGAUUGCACUUGCAUCUAACUGCAUGCUCAGCUCCCCAAAUAAGCUAGUAAUCUAAACGACCUUUGAAAUUUGCUUAUAUGGUAUUAAGUGUCAAUGUAAUAUGUUUUUUCGUACUAGUGGCUUAAAGCGGGAUCAACUUUGAUGUCUCCAUUGGAGCUUCGGUUGGGAGCACUCCCUUGGUGGUGGAUAAGGAUAGAACAACAACUUCCCAAACACUCUCCCAUACCUACAAACUCAAAGAACAAAUCGAUGCAUCCCAGUCCGGCUUUGGAGCACAGUCCACGACCAAAGUCGAUACAAUCAAGGUUUGGAACUGAGAAUCUCAACUCGCUCACUCCAAGAUCUUCAAAAUCCCCAAUGGCAACAACAACAUCAAGAACAAAGCAUGAACCAAUCCUAUCAAAUAGAGUUCAACAAAGCAACACUUCAACUCCAGUAAAGCGUGCAAAUCCAAGGACUAAUGGGGAUGACUUCGGAUUUAGUUUGCCACUAAGAGAUGAUGACAGCUUCACAAGCUGCCCACCUCUUUCAAGACCAAACUACAUGACUCCAACCAUUUCUGCCAAAGCGAAGUUGAGAGCAUAUAACAAUCUAAAUCUGAACGAUAGAUCACCAGCAACUCCAACUCCAGGACAGAAAAGACGGUUCUCGCUUCCUCUGACUCAAAGUUUUGGUUCUUUAAGGUGGAAAAGAGCAUCAUCCAUAUUCUCAAACAAUGACUCCAGCUCCCAGAGAAAACAAGGCAACAACUACAGGUCCAUGUCCAUCCAGUCUAUAGGUAACUCGAGUGUGGAUUCUACCACUUCCAUGCCUGCAGCGCUUGGGAGAAAGCCCUUUAAUAGAUUUGUGUGAUUUUUCAUUUUUCUUUCUUAGUGUUAUAUAUUGGUUUUGUGUGGGGGUGUUUUGCUUGACAUGACAAUAACAAAGAUCUGUAAUGACAAAUUAUAUUACAUACACAUUUACAUUAAUGAAUAACCAAUGGUGUGCUAUUUGUUUAUUUAUUUAAAAUUUGAAGUAAUGCAGGUUAUUUUUAUUGCCGUACCAGGGAAUUUUUCCCCCUAAAAUAAACAUAUUGCGAAAAUUAUAUACGGACUCUAAAUAAAAACCAUACUAAGGGCUUGCUAAUAAAAAUUGAAAAUCAUAUUCAAGCAAAACUUAUAAACUACAAUGUUGAACAGCACACACUAACCUUUUGAUUGGCGUAAUCAUCAUCACUUGUGUUUCCCAAGCUCGGCUUCAAUUUCAGAAACAUAGUUGAAGUUCGUAGAAUAAACACCAGCUAUUUGCUGAUCAGUUUGUAUACUGUGGAAUUGUGAUUCGAGUUCCUGAACACCAUGUUUAAGCUCCUCAUUCUUUUCUGUGAUAUUCAGCUUCUUCUCUAUAGUGAUCUGCUUAACUUUGGCUUCAAGAUUCUCCAUCACUAAAUCAAGUUUACAAGUCACAUCACAACCAAUGUUAAUAGGGUUUAGUAGGUUUCUAACUAAAACCCAAAACGAUAAUUUCAUCAUUAGCUAGGAGAACUGGAGAAAAACAUAGUGUUGCUGACUUCCUGGUUUGCCUAACUGGAAUGGAAAUAUAGUGUGUUGAUUGCCUAAGAAGAAACA
rnacentral:lncRNA from 1 species